rnacentral:tRNA from 1 species
GGACGGGUGCCGUGCAGCGGCGGCGGCUGCUGGCCGCCGGGCUGCGGGUGCGCGACCUGCCCCGGCUGC